rnacentral:tRNA from 1 species
AAAAUACUAGGUUAAGCAAACCUCUGGCCUUCAAAGCCCGAAUUAAAUAAAUUUUUGUAUUUUA